AAAGACUUAAGUUAAAAGACUCUAAGCCUUCAAAGCUUAAAGUACAGGUGAAACCCCUGUAGUCUUUG
rnacentral:tRNA from 1 species